UUUCCGUAGGUGAACCCGCGGAAGGAUCAUUACAGAGUUCAUGCCCUCACGGGUAGAUCUCCCACCCUUGAAUAUUUAUACCUUAGUUGCUUUGGCAGGCCGUGGAAACACCAUGGGCUCCGGCUUAUGCGUGCCUGCCAGAGGAAACUAACUCUGUUUUUAGUGAUGUCUGAGUACUAUAUAAUAGUUAAAACUUUCAACAACGGAUCUCUUGGUUCUG
rnacentral:misc_RNA from 1 species